ACCGUCAAUAAAUGACAGGCGACAGUCUCAACGGUCACCACGUGGUGAAGAUAAGCUCGGGUAUAUGUUUUGCAAGUACUGCAGUGACAUGAUUCGUCUAUUGGAUUAUUGUCACUCGCGUAGAUUCCCUUACGAAAAACACAAUCGUACAUGUCAACACCGAGAGCACAGCAGACGACGAGAUCGACUGCAAAACCAACGCCCAUCAAGUAGCGUGGUUUAUCCUUUGGUAACAAAUCUGUCGAGAGGUGCACCAUUCUCCAAAAGUCAUUUUUGCUCUCUCCGCCGCUGUGGAUAAACAAAAAUUAUCAUUCUUUCAACAUAAAUGAAAAUUGUAUAGUCAAUAAAAGAACUAACGAAGGAAAGUUCAAUAGGAGAUAAUUGUGAGAGCAUUCAAAUCAUACAGUUUGUUCAUGCACUCUCACCUGAGGCCACCGAUAGCAAAACCAUUUACAUUGCGCUUUGAUUGUCUUUUUGCACUUUCCAUUCGCAAUUCAGCAUUCAAACCACCUUGGACUAUUGGAAAAAUGCUUUGUUCUUCUGGCCUUUGAUGAGCUUCAAGACAUCGAUCGAGCCAGCGAGUUGUUCUAGUGAAAUAAUUCAUAUUCACAUUUAUUGAUCCUUUAUACAUGUUUUUGUACUAUGAAAACAUGUAUUGCACACAUUGUUACCAGAGUCACGUUGUUCAAUUGUUUUGUCUAAAUCGAAAUUGUUUCGAAAUUUCUUAAAACGAUUCUAUACCUUUCCAUAGCCUCUACGACUCGAGGUCCUGUUGUUGUGCUACUCACAACAUCGUCCAGUUGCAUAACUAUAUCUGCUCCAAUUGCAUUUUGAAUUUCUAUGGAGUGUUCUGGUGUCAACAUACAUUCUGAUCCUGUGUUUACAAAUUAUUGUACAGGGAGCGAUUAAAAGAAAAAUGAUGCGUUUGGUAUUUAUAGAAAAUUUUGUGAAUAUUUACCAUCAUAAGGUGAAGUAAAUUUAACUCCCUUUUCAGUUAUUUCAGCGAGCUUAAGUAGCGAAACCAUUUGAAAACCACCGGAAUCUGUGAGAAGACCUCGUUUCCAAUUCAUAAAUUUAUGUAAUCCCCCUGCUUUUUUCAUAAUUUCUGGACCCUUUGUAGAAAAAAAAUUAAUAAAUAAGAACUUUAGAUAUACGUUCAA